UAGGCCCUGCAAUCCCCUUCCCUCUUCUCAGAACCCACCGUAGAAACAAGCACCCUCCGCGCCGCCGGCCGCCGGCCGCCGUGUCCGUUUCAGUCUCCGAAUCCCUCAUCCCCCGUUGCCUCGCGUUCCCAAGCCACAUGAUAUCCCCCAACCUCCCCCUCCGGCUCCGCCACCUCCGCUGCCUUCUCGCCGCGGCGCCCUUGUCCUCCCCCGCCGCCGCAUACUACUCGCGCGCAUCCUCCCCACCUUCAAACCGCGCUCAGGCCCUGCCCCCGCCCCCGCCACCGCGGCGCCAUCUCCCGGACCUCCCGGCGCGACGGUUCUCCUCCGGGCACGUCCUCCUCCCCACCAACCUCCAGGAGGAGCACGUCGCGUCUCUGUCCGACAGGAUCUACCACGCGGUGACAGAGACAGAGGAGGGCUCCAACGAGGGCACGGAGGCCGCCCUCGACGCGCUGGGCGCCGAGCUGACCACCCCGCUCGUGGCCGACGUGAUGCACCGCCUGCGCUACGAGGAGAAGCUGGCCUUCCGCUUCUUCGCCUGGGCGUCCCAGCAGGACAACUACGAGCACGAGCACCGCACGUACAACGACAUGAUCGACAUCCUCUCCGGGACGCGGUACAAGUCCCGCCAGUUCGGCGUCCUCUGCGACGUGCUCGACCACAUGAAGCGCCACGGCACGAGGUCGGUGCCGGUCGAGGACCUGCUGGGCAUCCUGCGCGCCUACACCGAGAAGCACCUCACCAACCUUAGGAAGCUGGCGAAGAAGCGGCGGGUGCGGAUGCGCACGCCGCCGGAGACCGACGCGCUCAACAUCCUCCUGGACGCGUUUUGCAAGUGCGGGAUGGUCAGGGAGGCGGAGACGGUGUUUGGUCGCGUGAAGAAGAAGCUGCAAGGAAAUGCCGAGACCUACAGCAUCCUCUUCUUUGGGUGGUGCCGCGCCAGGGACCCCAAGAAGGCCAUGAAGGUGCUCGAGGAAAUGGUUGAGAUGAAGCACACCCCAGAGAACUUCACGUACAUUGCUGCUAUUGACUCGUUCUGCAGCGCUGGUUUGAUCUCGGAGGCAAGAGAGUUGUUUGAGUUCAUGAGGACCGAGGGAUCGAAGAUAUCCUCUCCCACUGCUAAGGUAUAUGCUAUUAUGAUUGUUGCGCUAGCCAAAGCUGAUCGGAUGGAUGAGUGCUUUGAGCUGAUUUCAGAUAUGAUUAAACGAGGCUGCAUGCCUGAUGUAUCAACCUUUAAAGAUUUGAUUGAAGGCAUGUGCUUGGUGGAUAGACUCGAUGCUGCCUACUGCAUUUUGGAGGAGAUGGGGAAGGCUGGGUUUCCUCCUGACAUUGUCACUUACAAUUGCUUUCUUGAGGUACUUUGUCGUCUUCAGAAGGCUGAUGAUGCGCUCAAACUCGCCGAGAGGAUGAUAGAAGCACACUGUGAGCCCAGUGUUCAUACUUACAAUAUGCUGAUGGUGAUGUUUUUUGAGAUGAGAGAGCCACACAGGGCACUCAAUAUUUGGACUGAAAUGGACAAGAGAGGAUGUCGACGUGCUGUUGAUACCUACGAAAUAAUGAUUGAUGGGCUGUUUGAUUGUGGAAGAACGGAAGAUGCAACCACUCUUCUAGAUGAAGUAAUAAACCAUGAUAUGAAACUGUCGUACAAGAAGUUCGAUUCUAUCAUGCUGCAAUUGUCAGCUGUUGGCAACCUUGGCGCAAUACAUCGGCUUUCAGAGCAUAUGAGAAAAUUUUACAAUGUUGCAAUGUCAAGACGUUUUUCGAUCACACAGAAGAAGAAGAGCAUUGGUAUUAGAAGGAGAUGAGUUCUGCAAGAUUUAUUGUUAGCACGAAUAGUCAAGAGCGUACAUGAGGGUGGUUGAUACAAGUGUGCACAUUUUGUCGGAGCAAUAUGCAGUGGAAGCAGCGUAUGAACCGAAGUACUUUGCCAAGGAAACAGGCAAUGUGGCAGCCAGUGUUGUUAAGAACAGAGUGGGCAAAAUUUCGUGGCCGGGCUUGGCUUCCUAGCCCCAUACCAACUGUGCUGUGUGACCUGUGAGCAACUACUAGUCAGCUAGGCGCAGGACAGCAUAGGCGCAUAGCAUGGAAUAGCUGCAUGUUGAGAACCUGGAAUAUAAUGACGCAGAAGAAAUUUUGGGACUGAGAGCCUGGGAUACCAUCGUGCUGCAGUGCAAGCAAAUUAUCUGAACUCGUGGUGCCAUGCCAUGCCAUGGCCCGUCCUCCAACGAGGUGGGUAUGCUAAGUUUUCAUGAGUUCCGAGGUAGAAAGACGGCUGGUUCUGACGGAAAAGAAACCUUUGUCAAGUGAUUUCGGUUUCCAUCUCAUCAUUUUUUAUUUUUUAUCUUGAGAUCAAGUUUUCAUCUCAUCAGAGCCGACCCUUGGGCAGGGCGAGAAGGGUGUGGCUCACGCCCAAAUUGAGGCCAGUUAUUUCAACAUAGGCCCAUUCUGUUCCUUACAUACAACUAACAGAAAAACAAAACAUCCAAGAAACCCUGGUCUAUUAUUGUGGAGACAUGGAACCACAAGAUGAGAUGGGUACCGUGAUUUCCUGAAAUUGGAUGAACGGUACCAGCUGUUACUUAGGAAUUCACCCUUUUUAGGGACCUUUUCUCUGUCCUUGUUGGACCCAAGCACAAUACUUGUAAUUGUAGCAUUUUUAAGAAACCCCUUUCAGUUAAAAUUAGCAUAAAGCUACUUGAGCCGGUCAGAACAUAGAUUGGAUCUGAUGAACGUGUUUAUAUUCAGCAAAAUAUUUCAUA